CCACGCGCCCACAAUGCACCGCGGCGGGAGCGCGGACCAUAGAGAGGGCCGGGAGCGCGUCCGCCAUGGCGGCUCUGAGCAGCUCGGACUAGUGGGAGGUGUCCCUGCCCGCGGCAGGGGGCUGAAACUAGGCCGUCUGUAAAGCCCCUUCCAACCUUAACCAUUCUUUGAUUUUAUAUUCACUGCUGUCUCUGUAAAGAAGCCAAAGCAUGAACGAGCGUCAGUCGGGGAUUAAAUUUCCCCUUUAAAAUGCAAUUCCUUCCUUGUUUUUACCGUUCCCUGUAGAUUGCACUUUACUAUCAAACUUCUGCGAAUCCACACGAAAGUAUAUGAAGUAAAAGGCUCUUUGAUGUAUCUACAAAUGAACACGGAAACAUUUUUCCCUAGCACUCUGCAGCCAACAUGCAAUUUAGAACAGAGCCCACAAGAGGUCCCACAGAUAUUGCCAUCCAGGGAGCUGCUACGCAGCAACGGUGGAAAGUGGACCCUUUCGGUCCGCAAGCCAUCAGAGAAAGCACUUGGAAGAAGUGGGCCUUUAGCAUAGAAAGAAACCUAUUAUUUUAAGCAGUUUUUCAAAAAUGUUUAGCUUCACUCCGAAGUCGGGUAAAUAGUAACAAUAACAACGGUGUCAUUUCCUAAUAGCUACCCCUGUCAGUAACCAAGUAUCCACCAUCGCACUUUCUCAUCUGCGAGCCUCAAUCUGCACCCUCUGGAAUGGGUUUAUGAUUUCUUCCACUAUAGGCAGUUUAGACACAAGAUCACAGAGAAGUCUGGCUUUGGGAAUUUGGUACUGUUGGGCUAUAGAUCACAGAAGCCUGAAAUCAGUGCAUCAUCCUAUGAUAGUGGGUGUUAUUCCUAGACUACAAAUCUGUGGAGGAGCUGUUUCACUAAUUUGACUGUCGUGGUACAGCAGAAUGUUGUAUUUUUCUCAGUAACAUGUCCUGAAGGCAGUGCCUACUGUUCAGUUGUAACAGCUAUCUGGAAGAAGGUAUCGAGUCUCUAUUACAGACCUCAAGAAACAAAAGGACUUCUCUUGCUGCUGUGUUAGAGGAAAAGGCAAACAUUCUGUGUGUGCUAAAAAUUGGCACAGUCCCUGCUCUGAACAGAUUGGAAGAUUCUUUAAAUAGCAAAGGAACGGCCUAGUGUUUUUGGCCAAAAUUGUUCCCCAAGCAGCUUUCCUUCCCCCACCUUGUGUGUAUCACUGUGAAGUACAAGUAGUUACAGAUGUGUUUUAUAGUCCAGGGUUUGGUUUCCUUGGAAGACUUGAACUCUAAAGAUGGAUGUUGGUAGAAUGGAGGUGCCUGAGACCAGACUCCUGAAAGUCUUGUUGCAGAGGCACCUAACCUUCAUAGGCCCACAACUUUUGGGUUUAAAGAUCUCUGAACAUACAGAUUUUUGCCCAAUCUUUAACUUGUUUGGACUCAGUUUAGGUCUAAGAAGUUUAGCAUCAUGCUUUCUCUGGGGCCUAACAGAUCUCUUUUCCACUCAGGUGCUCAGGGAGCCUUCAUCCAGCAACGAUUCUCAGAUCUUGUCUGCACUCUUCGAUGUCGCCAUCAGUCUCUCAGUCCCUACAGGGCACAUCCUGUAGCUCUUUCCCAAGCAGGGCUGAUUCCGCAUGUGGGUAAUUAUUGCCCCACCAGGCUGGCCAGCUCCAGGCUGCUUUGCCAUUUAGGGAUGUUCUCCCUGUGUUUUUGAAGUUGAUUAGCCAAGCAUAAGGGAAGGGAUUAAAGAUCCAUCAAGAAAAAGAGCAUGGAUGUAGAAGGGAACACCACUCAAGUUCAAUGGCAAAGGUGACAAGUGUGAAUUCCCGUAUUCCAGAUGAUGCAUUAAAAUGUCAUCAGACAGUGUAAACAACCAGACAAUAACAAAUCCCUCUUCCCAUGUCUGCUCUAAUCUUUGCUGAGCAAUUUGGCUGUAGCAGCCCCUAGAAAGGUAUUGUGUACUGCAUGGAAAACAUGAAAAGCAGGAGAAGUCACUUCCUUUGAUCAUUUCCUCCAGUGAUUAAUUACCCUCACAGUUUAAAACUGCACCUUAUUUUUGCAUUUCCAAACAUAGGUGCCUGUUGUGCCUUUCUGUGGCAAUUUUAAAAGCCUGUUUUCUCACCAGACAUACUUUGUAAUCUAGGCUUGCCACUGCCUUUGGAUAAGGUAAGCAGCCUGGGCUCUUCUAGUCUUAUGAUUGUUUCCUUCCUCCAACCAAUUAUUUGAGGGCUUUUUCUUGCUCCCUAUCCAAUUUAUGAACAACAAAAAUAUAAGAACAGUUUCGGCAUCUUCUCCAUCAACAUGAACUAGAGAGAUAGAACCGCUUUUCUCCCCCAGCUUUCUACAUGGUUAUUUGUCUGAGGACCACACUGGCAUUUUUACCCACACCACUACCUUGGGUGCUUGAGUCCCAGAUACAUGUCCAUGGUGACUCUUGAGUUCUUCUCAGGGUUGUUGUUUUCCGGAUUAGAAAAUUCCAGGUAGUUUUUGAGCUGAGACAAAUAAACAUAUUUGGCUGUGUUAAAGGCUUCUGUCUCAAAAAUAAAUCCCUUGCUGGUGUCACUGGCAUAGCCUUUUAGUUAUGGUCCCAAAUUCUUUAUGGUACCUGCACAUAUUCUUAGUGCAAUUUUAUAGUUACUUGUGGAUUGUACCAGGAGACUAACAUUCUUUGGUUAUCCCAGUGCUCUAGAGUGUUGAUCUCACCUAAGUGCUGGUCAUUCUCUGAGAUUAUGGCAAGAUCCCAAAAGACAUUGCGUCCUGAAAGAGAACAAAAACAUUUAUAAAGACCUCAUGCCUCUUAGGAGCCUUAAUAAUGUUUUUCUCAUCUACUUCUUGGCCUGUACUGUAAUGAAGAUUGCUUAUGUUCCUAACGGACUUUAAAAACUCCCUUUUAGCCUUGCCAGUGUAGAGAUUUUCCCCUAUUUCCUGUAUCAUUUUCCUAUUCUUGAAAUCUUCUUAUGUAUAGUCUUUGCUAACUGGUUCCCCUUCCAUCUGUAACAUUACUCUUACUUGUUGAUUUUCACGGAUUUUUUUCUGAAUCCAGACAGGAAUUUAUUUGAGGCAAUUGUCAUUCCUGAGUUUUUGUGUCUCUCACUGUAGGCCAUCUUCUGCCCACCCUAAAAGAACAGCAGCAGGGUGUGCAAUCUCCUCUUUCAAAGCAAUGUGGUACUGUGAAGGUGAGCAUUUUCCCCAACAGGGCAGAGGUUCAGUGUCAGAAUGGAAAUCUCCCAGCUUGAAUUUUUCCCUUGCCUCCCUUCCUGUGAGAGCCUGUCUUUUGCCAUCUGAGGCACAGCUUGCAUGGGCUGAUCAGAAGAAAAUCCCUUUUCUGCUUUGGAGAGGCCACAUCACCAUUUCCUCCCUCAGGACACUGUGUACGUUGAAGGACUGUGCCUCCUGCUGGGUAACAGACAUGGAAGGGCACAGGGGAUUGUUCAAGAGUGGAAACUUGGUGCGGGAAUGCUCAGCAAAUGGCAGCCUUUAAAGAAGUUUGUGGGAAGUUGCUGUUUCCUUGAUUGGAAAAAGAACAGAGGCUGGGCAAGGCUGUGACUCAGUCAGUGAGUCAGCAGGGGUUGCUUUCCGAUGAGGCCAUCUUGGCUCUUUAGUUCUCCGUCACACCUUCCCUGCUGCCAUGGGACAGUAAAAACCUUUUACUGCUGCUUCUCUUUGCUGACGAAGUCAUCCUGGCCCUUAACCUCUUCCCUGACACCUCCCACUGCAUUGUCUCUCCAACUUUCUGCUUCUGUGCUCCAUCUCAUCCCCUGGGCUGCUGUUUGUUUUUGUGCCUUCAGUGCUCCAGUUCUGGGUGGAUUGAGCAGCUAUGAACUCCUGCUUUGCAGUAACAGAGAGACAUUGUGACCUAUUCACCACAGAGGGAAAAUCCCAGGAGUCAGCAGUAAUUCUCUGCAAAAAAAAGACACAGGAUGAGGACCUGAUCUGGAUCCUACCCAAGGCAGUCAUGACAUUCAUCAGACACCUCAGACUGUGGUUCCUUUGCCAGACAUUAAACGAGCUGGACCAGUGCUGCAGGCCUGACACGCUGGUUUUGGAUAAGUCUUCUGUUUAUUGUGUCUUUCCCUGUCUGCUUCCCGAUGCACACGGCUCUCCGCUGAGAUCCCAGUGCUUUUUCAACAUGAGAUGUGAUGUCAACCAAAAGGGACUCAGGGACCUGGGGAAGGAGGGUGCUGGAGGAAGGAAUGGUGCCCCAAGACACACACAGUUCACGCUUCCUGGACUCACAGCUUUGAAUACACACUCAGCUCCAUGGAAUCUCUCUUGUUUCUAUUGAAUUGAUUGUUUUUGAGCUUGGGCAAAGCAAAUAAUUUUAGUCAUGCAGUAUUUACAUCCAGGCAAGCAGCCAGAACAUACCUCUGUCUACAGUUGCAUCCACUGUUACACAGAACUGUUCCACUGUUUUAUUUAUUAGCCAAACAUCUCUAAUAGCUAAGUUAAUUUUAUCCUUUCCUUAGUGAUGGUGACCCAGUCUAACUGGGAGGAGUCUCAGUAGCGCAGUGCCCAGACUCUGAAAAACUGGCUGUCCAUGCACCCCUGUGGCUCUGGCUUUGGCCCUGCUCACUUUCCCUCUGUCUUCUCGGUGUAGAUGUGGAACAAGAAACCAGUGAAGUUGUCAGUCAUGGUGGAGUGAAGGUGCACCCUUCUCUGUAAGAGCCAGCUGCAGCUGUGACUUUUAGCAAUAACAUCAGGAGUUGGUACCCAUAUUGCUCUACGUGGGCAGAAGCGAGCUUACUCUGAUUCAGAUGGAAACAAAGAACAACAGCUUGGAAAACAAUGAACUCUUGACCCAGAAGUGGGAUCAGCCAGGUUGUUUUCCUUUUAGCUCUUGAUUACAAAUUCACAGUAUUUUAGCUGCUGAGGCCUCAAGGGAGCCUUUUGCAUAUGUGGAACUGUGUCAGUGAAAAGGGCUGGCACCCAGGAAACUGCUCUUUUCUUCUUACCACUGUUACUAGCCAGGGAACCUUGACACAAUGAUCCCCUCUCCUCAAGUCUUUUGCAUUUCCCUCUUUAUAAAACUAGGAAUAAUGGACCAAAGGCAUUUGCUCUCUGACCUAUAGCUACAAUUUCCAAUGUAAGAGGAGGCUAUGAAAUUUGAUUUUUUGUAUUACAAAGCCUAGAGGGGUUUGAUGUGCAAUUUUACCAUCAAAACCGUCACCUCUCUUUGAGGCAGACUAGUAAACUGAGUCCUGCUGUGGAACUCAGACUACAGAUAAGCAGGCUUCUUCUACAAGAUCAGUAGCCCUGAAUGAAGCCCUUUAUGGAUGGUAAAAUUUUUUCCCUUUCUGGGUUUUGAUCUCUGUUUUGGGAUUUGUGCAGAGGGGCAGGAGGUGCUCAGUUGGAGUUUAAGUGGUUAGUAAUGGUUAGGAGUGUCAAAACCUGAUUAUCAGAGUUGGUUGGUUCAGAGUUUGUGGUGGCCAGUUCCUUCAGCUGAACAUGGAGCUUCACAGUGGGUGUAAGCAAAGCCCUACCUGCAGAUGGAGGCCUUCUGAACACAGCAUUGCUUGCUCCCCUGAAGACUCACCGCACAUCAAGAAGGUGUGUAUGCUGCAAACACCUCUGCAGACGUGUCUCGUCUUGGCAAGACCCUGCCUGUUUCUGUAUCAUUGCUGCUGAGGAUUAGUAACUGAAACCAAAUUUCACAUUCCCCUCCCUUUUCCUGUUCUCCUUGGCCAGUUACCUGCCAUGAGCAUGUUGCAAGCAGCCACAUCUCACGUCUGUCCCUGCAAAAACAUGCAGAUUAAGCAGCUUGACCUCAUUGCUCCCAUCCAUGCUACCUUACUGUGCCCCUAGUAACUUUGUUUUGCCAUCCUUGAAGGUAAAAUUUUAAACAGGAAUAGAGGGAGGAAGUCCUGGUCCUGUGCAAGGUGCUGCAUCCCACUGGUAGGGAGUCCCACUCACCACAGCACAGCAGUUCUGUGAGCAGCUGUGAGGGGAAGAUUGAUAGAGAUGGUGCCUGUGGGGGUAGGGCUUGCACAGGAAUGUUUGGCGUGUGAUGAAUGUGCUUUCUGCACUGUUUACAUCUCUCUCCCCUUCUAGUUUUCAUUGUACUGGAGCCUGCCUACUCCAACAACUCCAACUCCUGCAGUCUUUACCAGCUAUGAGCUCUGUAGUCCAUGCUUGGUAGGCCUCAAAGCACUUCCCAUCAGGUGUCAGGAUGUUCAGUCAUAAACACAUGGAGUGGUUAUGCACUGGCUUGUGCUAGAGGGAUGUUAGAAGGCUGGGGUGCUCUCGAGGGAGCUCUGGUUCAUUUGGUGCUGCACAGAGGUGAUGGUCAUGACUUGUGCAGGCUUUCAAUUUUCUUUACAAAGCAGUGCCAAAACCAUAUACUGUGUCAUAGUGACCAUGUAGCUUAAGAGGGUCCUUGUGUAAUGUGCUGGCUCCUAUGAGUACUGUUCUAUUGCAUCCUGUGGGGAUCCUAUCCCGACAUCCUGAGUUUUACUGCGUGGGAGGAGAUCUUGACAUGAGACUCUACAGCACUGAAGACUAGCACGUCUUGAAUAUCACCCGAUGAACCAUGUGUCUGGGGACUGGCUGCUCCUCAGCCUGGUAUAUGACAAGUGUUACACAGACACAGACACGUUAAUACCACCGCCCAAGAAAGUUAAGUCAGCAGUUACACAGCAGAUCCCAGCAGGCACUGCAAAACCCGAUUCUUCUGAGCUGUUCCCAAAACCAGGAGGCUCCCAGGUCAGCUCUUCAGAGGCUUUGGGUUUUGCUCUUGUAAUUUAACCUGCAGUUCCAGUAGCCACCUGUUUGUGUAGAGCUCUAAUUUGAGGCCAGUACUUCCUUCCAUCCUACAGUCAGUGUGACUAAAAGCACUGCUGCUUUUUUAUUUUAGAGAAAAUACCUUGUCCUGGCUGUGGUGCACCAGUGCUAUUCUGUGAACUCUAAGGGCAGAAUCUGAGCCCUGUACUCAUGGCAGUGACAGGAUCCUGGGACUGGUGACUGUUUUUCACAUCUGACUCUUUCCCCAGGCAGUACUGGACAAGAAGCAAUAUAUGUGGAAAAUAUGAUUUUAUGUUUAUACCUAGCAGCAGUUGCAAUAUGUAUUUCAGUAGCAAGGCCAAGGCCUGAAAUGAGAAUGGAGAAAGAGCUGCUCACUCAUCUCUCACACAGCCAACACACUUUAUUGUUUCUUGGGCUAAAUUCCUGUGGUGGCAGGAGUACGUUAGGUCCUGCGUGAAGUUUGUCUGAGCAGAUGUGAACAUCCUGGGCUCACUUUAAAGCCACUGCAGAGACAGAGGCAUAUCUGGAAGAUGCUAUCUUGUCUUCCCCUGGACACGUGGGAUGAUGCAAGUCACACCCUUGCAGUGCUUUCCUCUCUGUUAGGACAGGCAGGUUCCAUAUGGGCAUCUCCACUGCCGAUCCAAGUGGCACAGAGGACAUUGGAGCUGGGAAGCAGCUUACCUCCAUCUGUCAGGUCUGGCCAAACAUUUAAUGCAGAACAUCUUGCUCCUCCUCCCACUCCUUGGUUCCAAAACACUGCUAUUACUGGAGACAGUGGUGUUACUGGGUGUGGCUACUACCUUGUCUCUUGAUUAAAGGUUCUGGAUCCUGUCAGCAGGUUUAGCUUUCUCAAGGAUUAUGCCUUUCUCCUUCCCUCCUCUGAGGUGAUGCAAGCCUAACAAGUCUGUACCUCUAAUUUUGUUCCCACCCAUCAGUCUUCUGUCAAUGCAGACUGUCAGGAGCUGUCUCACACCUUGUUUUCAGGUAGCAUGUAGCACAGCGAGCUCUCAGCAUUGACUGAAUCACACCACACUUUGGAAAAAAUAAAACAAAUCACAUAAUAAAAAAUCAGUGUUAAUACCUAGAAGAAAAGCAUGUAAGCGGGUAACUUUCCUGUCCAAAACAGAUUUAAGGUGUGUAAGAACUGUUGUGGCUCUGACCAACUGACAACCUGCAAAAUAAAGACCAUUGCAGUUGAAACAUCAA